GAUGAACGCUGGCGGCGUGCCUAAUACAUGCAAGUCGAGCGAACAGACGAGGAGCUUGAUCCUCUGACGUUAGCGGCGGACGGGUGAGUAACACGUGGAUAACCUACCUAUAAGACUGGGAUAACUUCGGGAAACCGGAGCUAAUACCGGAUAAUAUAUUGAACCGCAUGGUUCCAUAGUGAAAGACGGUUUUGCUGUCACUUAUAGAUGGAUCCGCGCCGCAUUAGCUAGUUGGUAAGGUAACGGCUUACCAAGGCAACGAUGCGUAGCCGACCUGAGAGGGUGAUCGGCCACACUGGAACUGAGACACGGUCCAGACUCCUACGGGAGGCAGCAGUAGGGAAUCUUCCGCAAUGGGCGAAAGCCUGACGGAGCAACGCCGCGUGAGUGAUGAAGGUCUUCGGAUCGUAAAACUCUGUUAUUAGGGAAGAACAAAUGUGUAAGUAACUAUGCACGUCUUGACGGUACCUAAUCAGAAAGCCACGGCUAACUACGUG
rnacentral:rRNA from 1 species